GGGGGCGAUUAGGCUUCGACGGAUUUGCAAAGGCGAUUGCUGCGUGUCGCGGUGCGGGAGGCCGCGUUAUCAACCCGCAUAAUAAUAAGUGCCGACGAUCACGUCGAGUACGCCCUCGCUGCCUGAUUACGCAAGUAAUUAGAUAACGAGGCGGUGUCUUGCCCGCGCCUUUCCGGGAUAAGACGCCACUCAAUAGAAAGGCUGGCUAGGGGAGUGGUUUGGUUACCCCUGGCGAGAGAUGUCAAGCUGGCUACAGGGAUUGGCUGAGCAUCGCUUACCCCCGUAGUGAGAACUGCCUAGAUGUUCUACACACGUAGACGCGUCGUUGGACCACUUCCGGACCGGGGUUCGAUUCCCCGCGCCUCCACCA
rnacentral:tmRNA from 1 species